AACGAACGCUGGCGGCAUGCCUAACACAUGCAAGUCGAACGAGACCUUCGGGUCUAGUGGCGCACGGGUGCGUAACGCGUGGGAAUCUGCCCUUGGGUUCGGAAUAACAGUUGGAAACGACUGCUAAUACCGGAUGAUGACGUAAGUCCAAAGAUCUAUCGCCAUAGGAUGGGCCCGCGUAGGAUUAGCUAGUUGGUGAGGUAAAGGCUCACCAAGGCGACGAUCCUUAGCUGGUCUGAUAGGAUGCUCCGCAACACUGGGACUGAGACACGGCCCAGUCUCCUAGGGAGGGGAGCAGUGUGUAGUAUUGGGCGAUGGGCGAUAGCCUAGUCCAGCAGUGCCGCGUGUGAGAUCAAGGCCUUAGGGUUGUGAAGCUCUUUUACACGAGAUGAUAAUGACAGUACCGGGAGAAUAAGCUCCGGCUAACUCCGUG
rnacentral:rRNA from 1 species